UACGUAGGUGGCGAGCGUUGUCCGGAUUUACUGGGCGUAAAGAGCGCGCAGGCGGUCGUACAAGUCGCGUGUGAAAGCCCCCGGCUCAACUGGGGAGGGUCACGCGAUACUGUUCGACUCGAAGGCAGGAGAGGGAAGCGGAAUUCCCGGUGUAGUGGUGAAAUGCGUAGAUAUCGGGAGGAACACCAGUGGCGAAGGCGGCGACCUGGGUAGAUACUGACGCUGAGGCGCGAAAGCGUGGGGAGCAAACAGG
rnacentral:rRNA from 1 species